ACUACGGGUGGCAGCAGUCGAGAAUCAUUCACAAUGGGGGAAACCCUGAUGGUGCGACGCCGCGUGGGGGAAUGAAGGUCUUCGGAUUGUAAACCCCUGUCAUGUGGGAGCAAAUUAAAAAGAUAGUACCACAAGAGGAAGAGACGGCUAACUCUGUGCCAGCAGCCGCGGUAAUACAGAGGUCUCAAGCGUUGUUCGGAAUCACUGGGCGUAAAGAGUGCGUAGGCUGUUUCGGAAGUCGUGUGUGAAAGGCGCCGGAUCAACCCGCGGACGGGCAAUGAAACUGGGAGACUAGAGGAAUUGAGGGGGAACCGGAAGUCUCGGUGUAGCA
rnacentral:rRNA from 1 species